rnacentral:rRNA from 1 species
CCUACGGGCGGCAGCAGUAGGGAAUAUUGCUCAAUGGGGGAAACCCUGAAGCAGCAGCGCCGCGUGGAGGAUGAAGGUUUUAUGAUUGUAAACUCCUUUUGUUAGAGAAGAUUAUGACGGUAUCUAACGAAUAAGCACCGGCUACCUCGGUGCCAGCCGCGGCGGUACUACGGAGGGUGCAAGCGUUACUCGGAAUCACUGGGCGUAAAGAGUGCGUAGUCAGGGUAAUAAGUCAGAUGGGAAAUCCUGUAGCUUAACUAAAGAACUGCAUUUGAAACUGUUACUCUGGAGGGUGGGAGAGGUCGGUGGAAUUCUUGGUGUAGGUGUAAAAUCCGUAGAGAUCAAGAGGAAUA